UUUCUAGCUCAUAGCUUCGCCCUGCUAAGAAGCGUGUGUGCUUGUACAAAGGCCGUUCAGCCUCGGGAUUUACACUCGGCUCGACACGGAUAUGUGAAGAAUGAACGGACCCUGCAGCGAAACGGAGAGCGCAACCUCUGACUGAGUGCCUGUCUACACAGUCUGACCACCUGUUGAAGGGCUGUUUGAUGACGAUUUGGACUCCUCUGGGAGAUGAGGACACACCCACAUCUGUUCCAUACUGCAGCCAUGGAUGGUGUUACAGCUCCGAGUCAGCUUUGGGCCAUCAGACGCACACACUGGAAAACCAGCACCUGGACUUCAUGCAGGAGAGAUGGCCUCAGUGAUGUAGGUUCAUAAAAUUCAUCAGCAGCUGUGAAGAGAUGCAUUUGAAUAUCUUCUGGUUCCACUUUUCCUAACCUGGAAGCUGAGGAUGGCUGAUUUCUGACAAGGACACACACCUCAGCG